GGAGUUUCUGUGAAAUCACAUGGCCUCUGGGUUUAUGUGUGUGCGCAUGCGCGAGUGUAAAAAAGGUUGUGAAGAGUCGGACUGCAGCUCGUCCUCAUCACAGCAGCAGCCGCCCAUUCGUUAACAGCAAUCUGACACGACAUCCCAUCGUCACAAUGGCAUCUACCAUCUCAUCCAAGUAUCAAGAACUGGUCUCCAGAAGCAGGCUGAUCUCAGGAGGACGUCCCAACGUCUACCAGCUGGAACCCACCAAGGAGGAGUGUGGUGCUCUGACCAGACUGACUGUUGGAGA